GCCUGGGUGGUUCAGUUGGUUGAGCGUCUGACUUUGGCUCAGGUCACGGUUGAUCUCAUGGUUUGUGAGUUCGAGCCCCGCUUCAGGCU
rnacentral:tRNA from 1 species